GCACCCGUAGCUUAACCGGAUAGAGCAUUGGUUUCCGGAACCAAAGAUUGGGGGUUCGAAUCCCUUCGGGUGCG
rnacentral:tRNA from 1 species